rnacentral:rRNA from 1 species
CCUACGGGUGGCUGCAGUGAGGAAUAUUGGUCAAUGGACGUGAGUCUGAACCAGCCAAGUAGCGUGAAGGAUGACUGCCCUAUGGAUUGUAAACUUCUUUUAUAAAGGAAUAAAACGCGGCACGUGUGCCUUUUUGUAUGUACUUUAUGAAUAAGGAUCGGCUAACUCCGUGCCAGCAGCCGCGGUAAUACGGAGGAUCCGAGCGUUAUCCGGAUUUAUUGGGUUUAAAGGGAGCGUAGAUGGGUUGUUAAGUCAGUUGUGAAAGUUUGCGGCUCAACCGUAAAAUUGCAAUUGAUACUGGCAGUCUUGAGUACAGUUGAGGUAAGCGGAAUGCGUGGUGUAGCGGUGAAAUGCUUAGAUAUCACGAAGAACCCCGAUUGCGAAGGCAGCUUACUAAACUGUGACUGACAUUGAUGCUCGAAAGUGUGGGUAUCAAACAGGAUUAGAUACCCGAGUAGUC